UACGUAGGGGGGCAAGCGUUGUCCGGAAUCAUUGGGCGUAAAGCGCGUGUAGGCGGCUCGAUAAGUCUGCUGUGAAAGUCCAGGGCUCAACCCUGGGAUGCCGAUCGAUACUGCCGGACUAGAGUCCGGAAGAGGCGAGUGGAAUUCCCGGUGUAGCGGUGAAAUGCGUAGAGAUCGGGAGGAACACCAGUGGCGAAGGCGGCUCGCUGGGCCGGACC
rnacentral:rRNA from 1 species